ACUCCCAACGGGUUCGAUCUCUUGUUGCUCCCACUUGGUUUGCUCUUCUUUUCUGGAUCGUCGUCCCUGGCACUAUGAUUCCAAUUUUAGGUUUCCGAUUAAUUGCAAUGGCAAAGAGAAACACUACAACAAAUAUGAGCAAUGGCCACGGAUGGUAUAGCCACGGUUGAAGUUUUUGUGCGAAAGAGUCUCGGUCAAUGCAAUUUGAUCAUUUAUGAAUGAAAUUAGAGUUUUCCACCCUCAUCUGUGGAUAAUGCAUGCCACAUAUAUUUACAAGCGUGAUUUUUCUUUAAAAUAUUGCUGGAGUCCCACUCUGGUCUUGGUAAAUAAAUCUCUCUCUCUCUCUCUCCAAAAACCAGAUCUCAGACCCCCGCCGCGACCUCUCGCAACGCCCUGCAUUUCCAACGACCUUCCAGAUAUCUCCUUCUCUCUUUUUCAUGCUAUCUGCACUUUGCUUCACACAUGGAUAUGAUCAAUUUCAUAACUACUUACAUCUCUAAUCUUUUCUUCUGCCAUAUUGCGAUUUCUUCGAUUUGGCUAUAAAUUUGAAUAAAUUGUGUAUCUUUUGUUUGUGUGGUAGUUAUUUCUUUUCCCUUUUGUGAGUUUUGAUUAUGAAUUGAGUUUUUUCGUAUUUUUGUUUUGUGUUUUGAUCUUUAUUAUUAUUAUUUUUUAUUGAUGCUUGCAGGUCGUAUUGUUUGGCUGUUAAAACCCACUGUCAACCUCUUCUCAUCGGCGAUCAGGUAAGAGACUAGGAAAUUUGACAAGCCGCUUGGUGAAGGGAGUUAUGUUUCCUGGUCGAUCACAAGUCCACAAAACUUAAGUUAGGCUAUGGUUGUCCUGCUUUUGAAGAGGGUGCUCCUAAUAAAGCCCCAGAUUCCUCUAGAUAAGAAGUUUUCCAUUGUGUGAGCAAUGGUCAGUUCCUGAGGAUCCAUAAAGAACUUGCAGCAUAGCUUAGGCAAAGUUUGCACCAGAGUCACAGGGCACACUUUGAAUUCUAAGUUGGAACUUCUAGAGCUGUAUCUUAGCUUCUAGUUAGAAACCUCUUUGUGAUAACAGUACUAUUGGGAUUAAGUGGACUAUGUAAAUGCUAUAUUUUGGAUUUGAUUUAUAUCUGUAAAUCAUAAAUCAGUAAUACAAUGAACGAAGUUAUUCGUUUUA